AAACUGAAUGAAGUUUAUUUGAACCAAUACAAAUUUCAAAUGUGCCAAAGCAUUGGUGAUUGCCUUCACUAGUCCUGGAGAGGUGGCGCUAAAGAUUGUGUUUUUUGCUUUGGCAAACUUAUAAUGUAACUGUUGGUGUGGCACAAAACCAGCAAUUCCAAAAUUAUUCAUUCAGGUGUUGUGCAGGAACCUUGAUAACAAGAAGCUAUGAUUCUAAUUACCAACAUUGGUUUUACAUCAUGAGUCCUUUCUACAAUAAACCUUUGGUUAAAGUUAGUCUUUCUAUGGUCUACAUGAAGAUUUUUUUUUUGUGUGUGUGUUUGUGUGUGCAUUAUGUAAUUUAGAUUCCUUGAUUUAGCCUUCAGUACGUGCACCCAACACUUGGACAUGGAUAUCGGUAUGACACUUGAUUACUACUCCUUUGGAAGGAUUCCUUAAAUGUUGUCAGGACCUGAAACUUCAACAUGCUAGUAGAGUGUAACCAAGCCAAACACAAGCGAACUGGGGUCAUCUUGAGCUUGACUUUAAAUUUUCAUGCGAGGAUUGAGCUAUGCUUGGGUUUGUCCUGAGCUUACAGAUUUCAGCUGGAGCUCUGUCCAUUGGCUCGUAAUAGGGACAAAAAGUAUGUUGGAUAUGAGAGGUGGUGUAGCCUGAAUUAAUAACAUAAAU
rnacentral:lncRNA from 1 species